rnacentral:tRNA from 1 species
CAGUAAAUAGUUUAUUAAAAUAUUAAUUUUGGAGAUUAAAGAUAGGCUUGUGCUUUUUACUGA